GAUGAAGAACGUAGCGAAAUGCGAUAAGUAGUGUGAAUUGCAGAAUUCAGUGAAUCAUCGAAUCUUUGAACGCACAUUGCGCCCCUUGGUAUUCCAUGGGGCAUGCCUGUUCGAGCGUCAUUUGUACCUUCAAGCUCUGCUUGGUGUUGGGUGUUUGUCCUUGCUCUAGUGGCGGGACUCGCCUUAAAGUAAUUGGCAGCCAGUGUUUUGGUUUUGAAGCGCAGCACAAGUCGCGAUUCAAGUCUAUACGCUAGUUUCCACAAGUCUUUUAUCACUUUUGACCUCGGAUCAGGUAGGGAUACCCUCUGAACUUAAGCAUAUCAAUAAGCGGAGGA
rnacentral:misc_RNA from 1 species